ensembl:lncRNA
AGAAGGCUUCUAACCAAUUUCACUUAGAGAUAAAAACAUAAUCAUGUCCCCAAGUAGAGAAAUAUCCAAAGUAUCCAUGGAGUGACACCAUGACCAAAAGGAGAAGAAAUGAACAACAACAAAAACAAACCAAAACAACAACAGCCAAACACCAACCCACAGUGUUUCUUCUGUUGUUCAUGCACUGAGGUGACAUUUAUGAAGCACCAUGUGUCAAGGCAUAUAUUGCACCACUUGGUUAAAAAAUAAAACUCAUCUUCUGUGAUAUGUACUCUGUUAUUAAUGGCAGCUAAAGCCUUGUGUUGAAAAGGAUCCUGAGACUCAAUUUUGAGACAGACUCUCACUCAUAGUCAAGACAAUAUAAAAUGGAUAUAGACAUGCGAGUUUCACAAAUACCCAGCCUCUGCUAAAUAAUGACAUUCUGUACACCAUAGACUCUUAAAUAAAUGUGUUUUAAAGAAUAUUUUUGCAUAAUUUCUCCAUUUCUCAGAUCAACAAGCCAAAGUUCCAAAUUAGAGUCACACAUUUCAUGCAGUACAGAAAGUUUGAAGAAGAAAUAUAAUCAAUAUCUUCUUCUUUUACCUAGGUUCCUUCCCUAUAUUCCCACCUAUUCUAAGAUUGGC